GUGAGGAAUAUUGGACAAUGGGCGCAAGCCUGAUCCAGCCAUGCCGCGUGCAGGAAGACGCAUCUAUGGUGUGUAAACUGCUUUUGUACGGGAAGAAACACUCCCUCGUGAGGGAGCUUGACGGUACCGUAAGAAUAAGGAUCGGCUAACUCCGUGCCAGCAGCCGCGGUAAUACGGAGGAUCCAAGCGUUAUCCGGAAUCAUUGGGUUUAAAGGGUCCGUAGGCGGUUUAAUAAGACAGUGGUGAAAGCCCAUCGCUCAACGAUGGAACGGCCAUUGAUACUGUUAGACUUGAAUUACAAGGAAGUAACUAGAAUAUGUAGUGUAGCGGUGAAAUGCUUAGAUAUUACAUGGAAUACCAAUUGCGAAGGCAGGUUACUACUUGUGGAUUGACGCUGAUGGACGAAAGCGUGGGGAGCGAACAGGAUUAGAUACCCUAGUAGUCC
rnacentral:rRNA from 1 species